UGAUACCGUUGUAGGGAUGCAGAAUCAGGUACGGACGCUCGGUCGACCGGAUGACGAUGCUGUGUUGGUUUGGGACUGAUACCGUUGAACAGUUUUGAUAACUGUAUCUAUGAUUCUGCGUUGUUCCGAUAACUCACGCACAGCACAACUUGCUGCAAUUCGCGCGACAUGCCUCCAGAACGGAAAGUAGUGUAAAACAUGUACAGCGUUUAACGUGUUAAAUAUUUAUUUUCGCACAAAAGCAGGCUUAGUUUUAGUAAAGUUAUCUCCUCAUUUGUAAUUUGAUAUGCAUGUAUUUAUCAAAAAUACAGUUGAAAAUCAUGACAUUUUAUUUCAUUACAUAAAACUUUGCAAAGGGUUCGAAAUGGAAACGACAAAUAAGAAGGACAUGUGGUGUGAGGAUACCUACGUAGAAGUUGGUACAAUCCAAGUUCCAACCAUCCAGUUUCCAAAUAGUAAGUCAGUUCCAAAUCUCCAAAUAAUCAGAAUAAUAGGGGAACCACAGCUCAAUUCCACGAACAAUAAUAAUAACCUUGCAGUCAACAUGCAACCAUGUAAUUCUUCUUGUCAUGCCAACACCGAGAAAUGCGCGGAUGAAGCAAUCCAACCAGAUGAAAUUUGCGGCAAUGAACAAAGUAUGAGUUACUUUUUAAGUAUUUUGUCUGUGUGAUACGAUGUGCGAAUUUUAAAAUAUUCUCAUUUUUAUUAUAAUUGUCUUCAGAAGCAGAGAUUGCGGAGCUUAGAGCCAAAGUGGAGUUAGUCACUGUAAGUUGUCUUAGGCAAAGUCUACUUUCUAGGAACGAAUUUGAGCUAGCCAAACUUAAUACAAAAGAAGGAUUAGAUACUUUUGAGCAAUCGAUUAGCACUGACCCAUCGUUUAAAGAAAAUGUAAUUAGGUAUUUGCAGAGGCAAAUAACAGUCGCAGAUGUAGACAGUCGAUUACAUGAAGCGCUUGAUUUACUUUUUACUCGACUAUUUUUUGCCACAAUCAGUUGGACUGGAAAAAGUAAGCCGGGAUCAACGAAGAUAGAGUUCAAGAAGUGUGAAAGCAUACUUCUUCUGUUAAAAGAAAUUGGAAGUAAUGCGAGAGUUUUAGCAACUCCCAAAUACAUUGCUGAUUUUAUUAAAAUCCGUCUUAAGCACGCUCCGUUUCGAGCUAACCUUUCUCCUACCAAACACACUUCUCUUCAUAAAAAAAGAAAUUAAUUCAUUAAUCAUUAAGUACUUAUCAUGUAGACGACCACCGACAUAAAUCUAUCUAUCGAUAUCUCUGUGAAAUAUUAUUAUUAAUAUCGAGUUAUUGUUUCUUUCUUAAAUAAUUUGCUAUACAUUAAUUAAGAUCUUAUUUAGUUUCGUUGCAUA